UUUUCAACCGCGGGGACUAAUUAUAUUUUAAAGUUAAUAUAUAUAAAAGUUUGUAAUUUGUAACUAUCUAUGUAACUUUCUAUAAAAUAUUUUUAUUUUAUAGUUUAGAAUUGUUAUUAAGUAACGUCCUGCCAAACCCGUCCCGCCAACCCGUCCCGUAAAAAAAACUCAUUUAUUUUAUUAAUGUUGAUCUUAUUUAUCAUAUGUUUAUGAAUCAUUGUCUAAAUAUUUUGUAAUUUUGUAGUAAUUAAAUGCUAUCAAAUAUCUCUGCGGUUUGAUGAUUAUAAUUGAAUUGUAAUAGUCAUGCAGAAAAACAAUAUCAAUAAUGAUAAUUUUGUAGUAAUUAAAUGAUAUUAAAUAUUUUGAAAGUUUUAUUUUAGUAACCAAUCGUGUAGUUAAUGUAGAGAGAUUUUAGGAAAAUUGUUAAAUGUCAAAUAUUUAAUUCGAAGAUUUUUUUCUAAUUAUCAAAAACAAAUAUUAAUCUAGUGGCAACCAUUGUAAAUAAAUCCCAACUACAGGAUUUAUUUCAUAAAAUGGCUGCAAAAAUGUAUAUAUAGAUAGAUGUGUAUAAAAAACAGAAGAAUUUGCUUGUAAUUUUUAUUUUAUUUUUUUAACACACCCUUAUAAUUUUCAAA
rnacentral:sRNA from 1 species